rnacentral:rRNA from 1 species
UACGGAGGAUGCGAGCGUUAUCCGGAUUUAUUGGGUUUAAAGGGUGCGCAGGCGGCACGGCAAGCCGGCGGUCAAAUCGCGGGGCUCAACCCCGCCCAGCCGUCGGAACUGCCGGGCUAGAGUGGGCGAGAAGUGCGCGGAAUGCGUGGUGUAGCGGUGAAAUGCACAGAUAUCACGUAGAACUCCGAUUGCGAAGGCAGCGCACCGGCGCCCUACUGACGCUCAGGCACGAAAGCGUGGGUAUCGAACAGG